ACCGUCGGAGUGGAGCGAUCGAGCGACGGACGGCGUACGCGUCGUCCGCGCCUUUCGUUUUACGUUUCGGCGUCGAACGCGUGCACUUUUCCCCUAGUAGGACGUCGCGAUCCGUUGGGCGUCGGUCUAAGGUCCGCGGUGGAGCCCGAGCGUGCGUCUUCGGACGUUCGCGCUCGGACCCGCGGUAUCCCGGCCGACUCGCUCGACGGUAUACAGAUGGCGCGGGGCCGCUAUUUCAAUUAGCGUUCGGCCCGCGGCAAGCGCGUACGGUGUUGUCGACGAUCGGACCUGGUGCCGGUCUCGUCCCCGGACGACUGUUGGCCGCGGUGUUUUCUCGAACAGACCUCGUUACGAAACGCCGAUCUGCGACGCUAUAGCUUUGGGUACUUUCAGGACCCGUCUUGAAACACGGACCAAGGAGUCUAGCAUGUGCGCGAGUCAUUGGGACAUAACUAAACCUAAAGGCGCAAUGAAAGUGAAGGUCCGUCUCGCGCGGACCGAGGGAGGAUGGGCGAUUCGUAUUCCGUACGGUCGCUCCGCACUCCCGGGGCGUCUCGUUCUCAUCGCGAGAAGAGGCGCACCAAGAGCGUACACGCUGGGACCCGAAAGAUGGUGAACUAUGCCUGGUCAGGACGAAGUCAGGGGAAACCCUGAUGGAGGUCCGUAGCGAUUCUGACGUGCAAAUCGAUCGUCGGAACUGGGUAUAGGGGCGAAAGACUAAUCGAACCAUCUAGUAGCUGGUUCCCUCCGAAGUUUCCCUCAGGAUAGCUGGCGCUCGUAGCGCACGAGUUUCAUCCGGUAAAGCGAAUGAUUAGAGGCAUUGGGGUCGAAACGACCUCAACCUAUUCUCAAACUUUAAAUGGGUGAGAUCUCCGGCUUGCUCGAACUAUGAAGCCGCGAGACUCGAAUCAGAGUCCA
rnacentral:rRNA from 1 species